CUAGAGAAUUGCUCCUGAUCACUUUUAAACUGCUGACACUCUUGAAUGCUAUUUUCCAAUUCAGAUAUACUGAGUUCACUAUCGCUUACAUUUUAGGUCAAGAAAGCUGAUAGUAGAAUGAUAUUUUAAGCUCUUUGCAGAUGAACCACUGCACAGAAGCUAUUACAAGUAAAAUAUCUUACUACAGUGGGUCUUUUUAGCUCCAGAGUGUUCUCUUAGGAACUUGCCUUUUUUUCUCUGGAGUAAAAAUCUGCCAAGCGCUUUCUAUUCAAACCAAUCCGAGAAGGUUAAACAGAACUCUAGAUAUGCCUGAUUUAACUCUUUAAAGUCUCAGUGUUUUGAAAAGACCGAACUGAUGCAAGAAAUAUAAUGAGCAGUAGAGCGAAGAAAGAAAAAAAAUUCUGUUAAAGCAUGUGUCAGCUUUUAGACAGCCCUAAUGAGUUCAGCACGGUCCUUAUUUAUCAGGCAAAUAUCCCAGCCCUAGAAGAAGCCAUGGGGGAUUAGACCCUUCACCUGCUCUGUGGAAAACAAAUUUGGACUGGGCUCACUGGAGCGAAUUUAUCAAACUGAUCAUAUUUUGGGCUGAUAAGAAGCAGUGGUCUUCCCAUGUGGAGGUUCAGCAGGUUAGCGGAAGUCUUUAAUCACUGAUUAUUAUGCCAUCCAACCUCAAUCUCUUCAGGCUGCCCUACAUAAUUGGGGUACAGCAAUUGAGCUAUCCUCUGGCCCUUCCCGUGCCAUUAGUGUAAUGUGAUCCUGGAGGGAAGACGCUGUGGCCGGCGACUCUACUUCCCCCGAUUAUGGAGCUUCACAGGAUCCAGGCGAAAGGGGGCCAGGGUGGAUUUCAGCUGAUAACCAUGCAUUACUGUUGGAAAUCUGCCAUUUGGUUUGGGUUGGACAUUUUCAACCAAGAACAGAGCCUGACAGGACCUCGUAUGUGGUGGUUAAGGCUAAAUAAUCCAUUACCUCGAGGUACAGGCUGGUGACAGCUUCCAGAUGAAAGAAGAGUUCUCCAGGAAAUGCAGGGGUAAUGUAGUUGGGACUUGGGAAAAAGGUUUGUCUUUUGUCUACAAAGGCUGAUUUGGUUGCAUUUAAAGUUGAAAGUUGAUGUAGCAGUGUCUUCUGCUAUUUUUCUCUGUUUUUAAUCCACUAACAAGCUCCAGAUCCAUAAGCUCUUUCUGUAGACAGCAUUCGUGCACACUAUAGAAACAAAAUCUGCUUUGGAUGAAGUUUUGUGUUUUCAUAUAUAAGCUAGGGAGCCUUUGAAUAAUUUAUAUAAAAAACAGCUCUACUAGAAUAACUCAAGGGAAUCAAACACAUGAGGAAGAACCCGAUAGAUUGGUUGAUUCACUUUAUGGCAGUGCCUUGCAUAAUCGAA